rnacentral:rRNA from 1 species
AAUUUCAGAAUACUGAGCGUAAGCGCGCGUAGGCGGCUAAUUAAGUCAAAAGGUGAAUCCCCGAGCUUAACUUGGGAAUUGCAUUGGUACUGGUUAGCUAGAGUGUGGGAGAGGAUGGUAGAAUUCCAGGUGUAGCGGUGAAAUGCGUAGAGAUCUGGAGGAAUACCGAUGGCGAAGGCAGCCAUCUGGCCUAACACUGACGCUGAGGUGCGAAAGCAUGGGGAGCAAACAGGAUUAGAUACCCUGGUAGUCCAUGCCGUAAACGAUGUCUACUAGCCGUUGGGGCCUUUGAGGCUUUAGUGGCGCAGCUAACGCGAUAAGUAGACCGCCUGGGGAGUACGGUCGCAAGACUAAAACUCAAAGGAAAUUGACGGG